rnacentral:rRNA from 1 species
AAGGCUCAGUAACACGUGGAUAACCUGCCCUAUCGUCUGGAAUAACCUCGGGAAACUGAGAAUAAGGCCGGAUAGUUCACAAAGCCUGGAACGGUUUGUGAAUCAAGGUAGGAUGGGUCUGCGGCGUAUCAGGUAGUAGGGGGUGUAAAGGACCCCCUAGCCUUCGACGCGUACGGGUGUUGGGAGACAUAGCCCGGAGAUGGAUUCUGAGACACGAAUCCAGACCCUACGGGGUGCAGCAGGCGCGAAAACUUCACACUGCAGGAAACUGUGAUGAGGGAACUCCAAGUGUGUGCACUAUGUGUACACUUUUAUGAACUUUUAAUCGGUUCAGGAAUAAGGGCUGGGAAAGACCGGUGCCAGCCGCCGCGGUAAUACCGGCAGCUCAAGUGGUCGUCGCUUUUAUUGGGCCUAAAACGUCCGUAGCCUGUUUGGUAAAUCUGUGGGUAAAUCAACUCGCUCAACGAGUUGAAUUCUGCAGAGACUGCCAGACUAGGGACCGGGAGAGGUGUGGGGUACUCGAGGGGUAGGGGUAAAAUCCUGUCAUCCUUUGAGGACCACCAGUUGCGAAGGCGCCACACUGGAACGGAUCCGACGGUCAGGGACGAAGCCUAGGGGCACGAACCGGAUUAGAUACCCGGGUAGUCCUAGGUGUAAACGCUGUGAACUUGGUGUCGGGGGUCCGCAAGGGGUCCCCGGUGCCGGAGUGAAGAUGUUAAGUUCACUGCCUGGGGAGUACGGUCGCAAGGCUGAAACUUAAAGGAAUUGGCGGGGGAGCAC